GACGAACGCUGGCGGCGUGCCUAAUACAUGCAAGUCGAACGAGAGCAACCGGUGCUUGCACUGGUCAAUCUAGUGGCGAACGGGUGAGUAACACGUGGGUAACCUGCCCAUCAGAGGGGGAUAACAUCCGGAAACGGAUGCUCAAACCGCAUAGGUCUUCGAACCGCAUGGUUUGAAGAGGAAAAGAGGCGCAAGCUUCUGCUGAUGGAUGGACCCGCGGUGCAUUAGCUAGUUGGUGAGGUAACGGCUCACCAAGGCCGUGAUGCAUAGCCGACCUGAGAGGGUGAUCGGCCACAUUGGGACUGAGACACGGCCCAAACUCCUACGGGAGGCAGCAGUAGGGAAUCUUCCGCAAUGGACGCAAGUCUGACGGAGCAACGCCGCGUGAGUGAAGAAGGUUUUCGGAUCGUAAAACUCUGUUGUUAGAGAAGAACAAGUGCUAGAGUAACUGUUAGCGCCUUGACGGUAUCUAACCAGAAAGCCACGGCUAACUACGUG
rnacentral:rRNA from 1 species